UAGGGAAUCUUCGGCAAUGGACGAAAGUCUGACCGAGCAACGCCGCGUGAGUGAAGAAGGUUUUCGGAUCGUCAAACUCUGUUGUUAGAGAAGAACAAGGACGUUAGUAACUGAACGUCCCCUGACGGUAUCUAACCAGAAAGCCACGGCUAACUACGUGCCAGCAGCCGCGGUAAUACGUAGGUGGCAAGCGUUGUCCGGAUUUAUUGGGCGUAAAGCGAGCGCAGGCGGUUUCUUAAGUCUGAUGUGAAAGCCCCCGGCUCAACCGGGGAGGGUCAUUGGAAGCUGGGAGACUUGAGUGCAGAAGAGGAGAGUGGAAUUCCAUGUGUAGCGGUGAAAUGCGUAGAUAUAUGGAGGAACACCAGUGGCGAAGGCGGCUCGCUGGUCUGUAACUGACGCUGAGGCUCGAAAGCGUGGGGAGCAAACAGG
rnacentral:rRNA from 1 species